CGCUAGUAAGCUAAACAGCGCUAGCCUUUAAGCUAGAGAGUGAGAGUUAAAUAGUCUCUCCAUAGUGA
rnacentral:tRNA from 1 species